GACGAACCGUGCGAACGUUGUUCGGAAUCACUGGGCUUAAAGGGCGCGUAGGCGGCCGCGUACGUCCGGGGUGAAAGCCCCCGGCUCAACCGGGGAAGGGCCUCGGAUACGGCGCGGCUCGAGGGGGGUAGGGGCAGCGGGAACUUCCGGUGGAGCGGUGAAAUGCGUUGAUAUCGGAAGGAACGCCGGUGGCGAAAGCGCGCUGCUGGACCCCAAUCUGACGCUGAGGCGCGAAAGCCAGGGGAGCGAACGGG
rnacentral:rRNA from 1 species